rnacentral:rRNA from 1 species
GAGACCCACGCCAACAGUUGCCAGCUCGUCCUCCGGGAUGGUGGGGACACUGUUGGGACCGCCUCUGCUAAAGAGGAGGAAGGAAUGGGCAACGGUAGGUCAGCAUGCCCCGAAUUAUCCGGGCUACACGCGGGCUACAAUGGGUGGGACAAUGGGUAUCGACACCGAAAGGCGAAGGCAAUCUCCUAAACCCAUCCUUAGUUCGGAUUGUGGGCUGCAACUCGCCCACAUGAAGCUGGAAUCUGUAGUAAUCGUGUCUCAACAUGGCACGGUGAAUAU